rnacentral:rRNA from 1 species
ACACGUAGGUGCCUAAUACAUGCAAGUCGAGCGAAUGGAUUAAGAGCUUGCUCUUAUGAAGUUAGCGGCGGACGGGUGAGUAACACGUGGGUAACCUGCCCAUAAGACUGGGAUAACUCCGGGAAACCGGGGCUAAUACCGGAUAACAUUUUGAACCGCAUGGUUCGAAAUUGAAAGGCGGCUUCGGCUGUCACUUAUGGAUGGACCCGCGUCGCAUUAGCUAGUUGGUGAGGUAACGGCUCACCAAGGCAACGAUGCGUAGCCGACCUGAGAGGGUGAUCGGCCACACUGGGACUGAGACACGGCCCAGACUCCUACGGGAGGCAGCAGUAGGGAAUUCGGAUUCC